UGGGGGAAUUUUGGACAAUGGGCGAAAGCCUGAUCCAGCAAUGCCGCGUGUGUGAAGAAGGCCUUCGGGUUGUAAAGCACUUUUGUCCGGAAAGAAAUCCUUGGCUCUAAUACAGUCGGGGGAUGACGGUACCGGAAGAAUAAGCACCGGCUAACUACGUGCCAGCAGCCGCGGUAAUACGUAGGGUGCAAGCGUUAAUCGGAAUUACUGGGCGUAAAGCGUGCGCAGGCGGUUUGCUAAGACCGAUGUGAAAUCCCCGGGCUCAACCUGGGAACUGCAUUGGUGACUGGCAGGCUAGAGUAUGGCAGAGGGGGGUAGAAAUUCCACGUGUAGCAGUGAAAUGCGUAGAGAUGUGGAGGAAUACCGAUGGCGAAGGCAGCCCCCCUGGGCCAAUACUGACGCUCAUGCACGAAAGCGUGGGGAGCAAACAGGAUUAGAUACCCUGGUAGUCCACGCCCUAAACGAUGUCAACUGUUGUUGGGGAUUCAUUUCCUAGUAACGUAGCUAACGCGUGAAGUUGACCGCCUGGGGAGUACGGUCGCAAGAUUAAAACUCAAAUGAAUUGA
rnacentral:rRNA from 1 species